GUCGGUAUCGAUUAGGGGUUAAAUCACUUCGUUGUGGUUAUAUCAUUCCGAAGAGCCGCUGGUUCGAUUCCAGCUACCGACA